rnacentral:rRNA from 1 species
CCUACGGGAGGCAGCAGUGGGGAAUAUUGGGCAAUGGGCGCAAGCCUGACCCAGCAACGCCGCGUGAAGGAAGAAGGCUUUCGGGUUGUAAACUUCUUUUGUCCGGGAAGAGUAGAAGACGGUACCUGACGAAUAAGCCACGGCUAACUACGUGCCAGCAGCCGCGGUCAUACGUAGGUGGCACGCGUUGUCCGGAUUUACUGGGUUUAAAGGGCGUGUAGCCGGGUUGACAAGGCAGAUGUGAAAUCCUGCGGCUUAACCGCAGAACUGCAUUUGAAACUGUUGAUCUUGAGUACGGGAGAGGCAGACGGAAUUCGUAGUGUAGCGGUGAAAUGCGUAGAUAUUAGGAGGAACACCAGUGGCGAAGGCGGCUUACUGGACUGUAACUGACGUUGAGGCUCGAAAGCGUGGGGAGCAAACAGGAUUAGAUACCCUUGUAGUC